AGACGUGGGGGGCAAGCGUUGUCCGGAAUUACUGGGCGUAAAGGGCGUGUAGGCGGCCUGCCAAGUCAGCUGUGAAAUUCCCCGGCUCAACCGGGGGACUGCAGUUGAAACUGGCGGGCUUGAGUGCAGGAGAGGAGGGUGGAAUUCCUGGUGUAGCGGUGAAAUGCGUAGAUAUCAGGAGGAACACCGGUGGCGAAGGCGACCUUCUGGCCUGUUACUGACGCUGAGGCGCGAAAGCUAGGGGAGCAAACAGGAUUAGAUACCCUGGUAGUCCUAGCCGUAAACGCUGGGUACUAGGUGUAGGAGGUUUCAAUACCUUCUGUGCCGCAGUUAACGCAUUAAGUACCCCGCCUGGGGAGUACGGUCGCAAGGUUGAA
rnacentral:rRNA from 1 species